CCCAGGCCCCGGGCCGCGGAAAGCCUCGCGUCCUAUUGGCUGCAGGAGGGAGGACGGCGCGGGGCGGAGCGCUGAUUGGUCGCCGGGCGAUGCUGCGACCCGCCCCUCGGGGGUCGCGUGACGCCAGGUGGACGGGGGCUCGUGCCCCGGCGGGCGCUGAGGUGGUUCUGGCGGUCGGGGGGUGUUGUCGUGCUGCUCAGCACAGCUUUCGUUCCUCUGUACUCGGCGGAGUUUUUAUGCGUUGCCCUCAGGUGGGAUGAAUUUGACUGCAACAAAAGUCCACUGAGAUGCGUCAGUGUUUCCCGAAGGCUCUUAAUCUCUUAUAACUUCCUCUCCUUUUGGGGGCAGAGCUCCCAUCAGUGCGUACCGCACUGCAGCUGAUGGCGUUCACCCUCUGACACUUUGUUUCUGCUCGAUGUAACGCGAGGGUUUGGGGCGCCGCAGAACUACGUGGUUUCAUGGCAUCGUUUUUAGUUUAGAUCGGCAAAUCGUUAACAAUUACUUUCUGCUUAUCCGUAUCUUCGGAGUCUGGGGACGAGAUCCUUCCUCUUGCGAUCCAUCGGCACCUGAAGGAUCUCUGAAAGGAAACCGGUGGAACGUGUGAGGGCUUCCUCUGGCGGAAAAGAACAAGACGAAAUAAGGCACUAGGGAAGCUAAUGUGAGACACUAGUGCCCAAAUCACUUUAGACACGACUGAUAUGGCUGAUGAGGUAAGACAUCUGCAAAAGUAACCUCCUGUGUCUCUCAUGGAGGAAUGCUGCCAUAGAAAGACAGCCCAGGUGGUACCGUGUCUGCAGACUGCUCCAGGGCCCACAGUCCUCCUGGUGGUCUCAGAAGAGCCGAUCACAAGCUGCUGGCCCCACUCUUUGCAGUUGCUAAGCUGUUGUCUCAAGGAGAAUCCAGCUGACAUAGAGGUCCAUAUGUGAGGAAAACAGCCACCUUCAGGAACAAUGACAAGGGUCUGGCAGGCAGCAGAUCCUUUUGGUUCAGAAACUGAUUCAUACUCACAGCACAACUGAAAGGGUGCGUCGCCUGCACGAGUUCUUUUGCAGAUGUACGUUCUGUAAAAUAAAAGCUGAAGGCAGCAGAGACACGCUGCAAGUGACAGGAUGGAUUGGUUGAUCUGCCUGGCUGAUUGCAGACAAACUGCACAUCAGAUCUCAUCUCUUCUUAGCGAAGGAAGAGCGAGCCCCUAAAAGAGCCGUGGCUGUGAUCCCUCUGCCCUCAGAGCCGGUGCUGCCCAUGGGGAACGUGCUCGAAAUCCCACCUGUGUUUCCAAACUGACGUUAAAUUACUGCAGACGUCUCAGUAUUUGCUGUGCACGGACAUAUCUUCUGUUGGAAAACAACACAUUGCGGUGAUGGAAAAUAACCUGAAUUCUUCCAUGCCGUUAACUGCAGGAGGUUUUCUACCCGAAGGGCCACGUCUGGCAGACAGGCUGGUGGGGCAGCACAGCCCAGUGCUGGGCUUUCAGGGCCGUGCACACAGCUGCUGGCUGGGGCUGAACCAGACGGAGCCAUGGCUGUAUGGCUGCGUGGCUGUUUGGCUGUGACUGUGUGACUGUCAGAUGGCUGUUCUGUACAGAAAGGGCUCUUCACCACAGCCUGUGCUCUGGGCUUUCUUCACACACUUUGCUGCACCUUGGGACGGGCCCCACGGUGGCUCUGAGCCUCACAACGGGCCCUGCUGCUGCCCCAUCCCCACGCCAGGCCCUGCAAGUCCACCACAGCAGCAAGCUGCACCAGGGCAGGUGACACCUAUAUGCAAAACAAUGACUGCUCCAGUUUUGAGUGGACUCUUCCCAGACAAGGUUGAUGGUCUGAUCCUAUUUCUGAUUUGAUAACAAGCCUUUUGGUUCACAUUCAUAAGAAGUGAGUGAUGAACACGACAAGCAGAACCAAGGGGGCCCUGCCUGCAGUCUUCAGGUAGAGGAGGACCGCCAGGUUUAUUGCACAGCCUCCUUUCCACAGGCUGGCACAUGAGAACUGCAGGAGUACAAGGCUCUGGUGGACAGCACACAGCAUACUGUAGUGCCAUCAAGCUAUAGAGGAGCGGAACUCUUCCUGGAGUAGUGAUGGAGGAUCCCAACAGCUAACUGUAUUGGAGGCUGAAGUGAGCCCAAUUGGGAAGGAGUGGCAAAACACCCCAUUGUGACCAACCCAGAGGCUCUGUGCAACGUUGGCAUAGAUCACCUCACAGGAAGACACCUCAAGGACUCAAACCAUGGCAUAGAUCACCUCACAAGAAGACACCUCAAGGACUCACUUGGUUUAACCUGACAGACAGCACGAUGAGAAAUCUGGCAAUGCCAGAGUGCCACUUGGGCACCAGCUGCUGCAGGCCUACAGCAGCAGACACUGCUCCAGAGGGCCAACAGGGCCACUGUCGCUGCUGCGAGGAGCUUGGCACAGAAGAACAUCCCUGGAGCAGGUGGGUGGCUGUCAGCCCUGCAUGGCACCUGGUGCUGUGACCAGCACUGCUGCCCUGAGGAUCCCCAGACAGACAGAACAAAACUUGCUUUCAUGGGGCCACUGCAUCUCCUGGUUAGAAUGAAGGUCAGGCACAAAUUACAGCUCUGAUUCCCUGGGGAUUCCUGCCUCUCGCUGUGUUUUGGCAGCUUAAGGACUCUUUGAUAUUUGAGCGAGGCCUUUCCCUUAGCACAUCUGAUCCUGAUUACGGUUUAUGGCAAUGGUAAUUCUUUACCUCCCCAAGGCAGCAGUUUUGAGAAGAGAGAGGGAAAACAAGUACAGUGUGAUCGUUUAGGAGAGGGGCACACUGCACAGCAUUUUAACCUUUUCUCUAUUUCACAGCAGUGGCUCUUCCACACAGAUUAGCACUAUCAGUACCAAGCCCUUCCCAUGGCAACACCCCAUGUCCAGCAGUGAAAUCACUUUGCCUGGAGGCAGAAGAAGUCAGGCUGUCUGUGUAUGUAUCCAGACACUGAGUUCUAAAGAACAAAGCUGUGGCUUGGGUAGAUUUUUUGUCACUUUCAGUUUCCUGGUGAGCACAGAGUGAGCAGCCGUUGGUAAGGGCCAAAGCUUUUCUGACUGCAGUGAAGAGCUCAGGUCCCAGUGGGUGCCACCAUCACCUCUCUCCUGCUUCAAACUUGAAGGGGAGUGCUGCUCUGUGCCUGGCAAGGACUGAGUGCAUCUGAGACAAUAUGGAGGUGGCAGAAAAUAGCGCUGUGGAUUUGCUUUUGUGAUAUGUCAAGGCAGAGUGUAAUACAGGCACCUUGGCACACAACGGUGGGUUUCUCAUGACUGUUUGUAACGUGCUUCAUUCCCCUGUGGCUUUGGCUUCUCUGCCCCUGUUACACCGUGAGCUCCCCAGGUUCACUGAGACUCUUCAGAGGCCAUGCAGGGGCUUUACAACGUGGAGGGCUCUUGCCUGUGAAUAACCACUCCUGAAACAUGAAUAGCCACUCCUGAAGCUGGCACCACCAGCUUGCCCUCAGACAAAAUAUCACAGUUCACAAAAGCACCAGAAGCACGAUUCACAAAGUGACUCCAUUACCUGUCAGCACUACAAAUGCCUCCAGUUGGCAGAGGCCUGUGCUGGGUACGGUUCUUUGGUGGAGGUGACCAUAAACACCUCUCAGGGAGGUGUGGGAAGCGUGCUAUAUUUGCUCAUGGAGCUACCAAGAAAUGGAACAAUUAAUAAAGGACACUUGUAAUAUUUUUUGCUGAAAAAAAAGGACAUUCUGUAAAUCCCAGUCCAUAACCCUUUCCAAAAAGUCAUGCAAAACUGUCACAGCACAGGAGGGGAACAAAGCAGCACCAGCUCUCAGUAUUGCUGUGAUGUAGUGAACCCCCUCAGGGAGUGUUUUACAAGCCAAAAUUUCUACUCAGUUAAUGCUAAGGAAGGGUCCAACAUGGGAUUUUCCCCCUUUGCAUCAGUAUUUUAAUUAGACUUUCAUAUUAUCUUGGGACGUACAGCUUGCGAGGAGUACCCUGGGAAGGAAAACAAGCUUUAUACCUGUAUCUCCCUGUCUGUUUUCUUUGUGUGAUACAAGCAGAAAUUUGAGAGCCCAGGUGGGCAGCGGGCGCCCCGACUCAAUGGUGACACCGCAGCCCGCGAGCUGCAUCUCGUGCUCAUAAAUCAGCCCAAUUAUUCUAACGAGGAGAGCCGGGUCCCUCUGCUUUGAGCCCUGCUGGUUUACAGAGAGAGGAGAGCAAAUAAAAGAGAACAAUGGCAGCUUCCCCUGGUGGGGGGGGGGCAAAGGGAUGGGGGACAAUGGGCGAUGCUCCUCACCACUACUGCUUCAGGAAGGCAGCAGGGCGGCUCUGCGUGAGCCCCAGGAGUCACUCCAGAUCAGAACCGAAAGCGCUUCCUUUUCUUGCUCUGCAUUAGUUCAAGUUUUCUUGCAAUGGUGAAAAUUAGAAACUUGUUUUUCUGCAAUGACAAUGCAGGUUCUUAUUUACUCCAUGAAUCUGGGAGCUGAAGCUCCAAGAAAACCACAAACUACCACGAGAUUUAUUAAUGAAAGAUGAGAGCCAAAAUUAUGAGAAGCCCCAUUCAUUGUUUUCUAUGUUUUCGUCCUGGUCCCUCCUAUUGUCCUCUCUCAGUGAUGACUGAAACAAAUCAUUCAGGUCUAGAUCUCCUAUUAUGACACCCGCAGAGCCUCCUUGCUAUUGUGUUGGCCAAAUUAAAAACAUUUGUCAGGAGUAACUGUGGAAUGGCAUAAAAAUUCAUCUCUAUUUUGCUGACGAGGACUUAAUUACUGCUAUUGUGAUAAGUUAUGUACUGAGUUCGGAUAUUUUUUAACACAAAACAUUUUUUAAAUGGCCAGUUCUGGCAGUCCUUGUGACAUCCUCCUCUCAGGAAAAUUCUUCUUGAUCUCUCUGGAUAUUCUCAACAGCUUAUCCUUCUUUUCUAAUGUCUGUUUUCCUACAACGUCUUCCUAUUCCCGCCCCACGUACAGCCUAAAUUGUGUCCAUAUUUUCAGCCUUUCAGACCCCAAGGAAAGCUCUGUAAUUACUAGAUAAACCUUCUCUUUGGUCAUCGUCCCCUCUGUGUUCCCUGUGUUGAUUUCAGCGAGCUAAGUGCACUGAGAUGUUUGAAGAUGUCCUCAGCCAUCUUCAGCCUGAAGCACCACUGAGACCCGCAGCUGCUGCAGAACACAAUGAAGCUACCAGAGAUGCUAAUGGAGGAGCUGAAGGGUUCAUAGGCAGAAAGCAAGGGGUGUGCUGUGGAGCCUACAACCAUGGAUUGCAGGAGUGCGUUUCUUAAAGCCAACAGAAUGGCAUCUUUUUUGAUGGGAAUAUAACAGUGGGACUUCAAAGCAUGACCAGCGCCCAGCGUUCAAAACAGCAUGCGUAAGGCCAGACACAAACUGUGAGACUAUCUUUAAGUCAUUAAAAAGAUCUAGAAUUAGUCAUAUUUGCCCUUUAUUUCUGAGCCUUUCAUGUUUCCUUGCUUUUGUGUUUUCAUUCUUUCCUUUCCCAGGAGCAGGAUACAACUUCAAGGGGGAGGAGAAACAAAGAGGACACCUGGGUUUGGGGUGCUGGGCCUCUGCGCCAUGCACCAAGAGCCACCAAGUCCAGAGAGCCAGCAGACUGUGAGACCCAGAGACUUUCAGUAAGCCUUGUGAUAUUUAAGAACAUCUCUGGAAUUCAUUAAAUUCUUACUAUUAUCUCCAACCUCACCAGUGAAUUUUAAAAUCAGCUUUGUUAUUACCUUCCUUGCACCACAGGCGUUUCAGCAGUGCUGCCAUGGGGGAAACACCACCAGAAUCAGAAGUUACAAGUGGGGCAAGUCACCCCUUUGAAAUUCUGUAACACGGCACAGCUACUUUGUUCUGCUGUCUUUAAAUACUUUGCUUCUGUUAAUGAGACUAUUUUAACUACAAAUUAAAUCAGAACCUCCUGAUGGAGCAGAAUCAAGGAGCAAAUGCAGCACUGAAUGGCUCAAGCAGCACAGACACACGCACGUGCACCUACCUUUAUUUACUCCUCGCACAGAGCAGAAACAGAGAUGAG
rnacentral:lncRNA from 1 species